GACGAACGCUGGCGGCGUGCUUAACACAUGCAAGUCGAACGGAAAGGCCCUGCUUUUGUGGGGUGCUCGAGUGGCGAACGGGUGAGUAACACGUGAGUAACCUGCCCUUGACUUUGGGAUAACUUCAGGAAACUGGGGCUAAUACCGGAUAGGAGCUCCUGCUGCAUGGUGGGGGUUGGAAAGUUUCGGCGGUUGGGGAUGGACUCGCGGCUUAUCAGCUUGUUGGUGGGGUAGUGGCUUACCAAGGCUUUGACGGGUAGCCGGCCUGAGAGGGUGACCGGCCACAUUGGGACUGAGAUACGGUCCAGACUCCUACGGGAGGCAGCAGUGGGGAAUAUUGCACAAUGGGCGGAAGCCUGAUGCAGCAACGCCGCGUGCGGGAUGACGGCCUUCGGGUUGUAAACCGCUUUCGCCUGUGACGAAGCGUGAGUGACGGUAAUGGGUAAAGAAGCACCGGCUAACUACGU
rnacentral:rRNA from 1 species